rnacentral:rRNA from 1 species
UACGUAGGGGGCCAGCGUUGUCCGGAUUUAUUGGGCGUAAAGAGCUCGUAGGCGGCUUGGCAAGUCGGGUGUGAAACCUCCAGGCUCAACCUGGAGACGCCACUCGAUACUGCCAUGGCUAGAGUCCGGUAGGGGACCACGGAAUUCCUGGUGUAGCGGUGAAAUGCGCAGAUAUCAGGAGGAACACCGGUGGCGAAGGCGGUGGUCUGGGCCGGCACUGACGCUGAGGAGCGAAAGCGUGGGUAGCAAACAGG